UACGAAGGGGGCUAGCGUUGCUCGGAAUCACUGGGCGUAAAGGGUGCGUAGGCGGCCUGUUAAGUCGAACGUGAAAUCCCCAGGCUCAACCUGGGAACUGCGUCCGAUACUGGCAGGCUUGAAUCCGGGAGAGGGAUGCGGAAUUCCAGGUGUAGCGGUGAAAUGCGUAGAUAUCUGGAGGAACACCGGUGGCGAAGGCGGCAUCCUGGACCGGUAUUGACGCUGAGGCGCGGAAAGCCAGGGGAGCAAACGGG
rnacentral:rRNA from 1 species